UGCUCGAGUGGCGAACGGGUGAGUAACACGUGAGUAACCUGCCCUUGACUUUGGGAUAGCUUCAGGAAACUGGGGCUAAUACCGGAUAGGAGCUCCUGCUGCAUGGUGGGGGUUGGAAAGUUUCGGCGGUUGGGGAUGGACUCGCGGCUUAUCAGCUUGUUGGUGGGGUAGUGGCUUACCAAGGCUUUGACGGGUAGCCGGCCUGAGAGGGUGACCGGCCACAUUGGGACUGAGAUACGGCCCAG
rnacentral:rRNA from 1 species